UAGGGAAUCUUCGGCAAUGGGGGGAACCCUGACCGAGCAACGCCGCGUGAGUGAAGAAGGUUUUCGGAUCGUAAAGCUCUGUUGUUAAGGAAGAACGAGUGUGAGAAUGGAAAGUUCAUACUGUGACGGUACUUAACCAGAAAGGGACGGCUAACUACGUGCCAGCAGCCGCGGUAAUACGUAGGUCCCGAGCGUUGUCCGGAUUUAUUGGGCGUAAAGCGAGCGCAGGCGGUUAGAAAAGUCUGAAGUGAAAGGCAGUGGCUCAACCAUUGUAGGCUUUGGAAACUGUUUAACUUGAGUGCAGAAGGGGAGAGUGGAAUUCCAUGUGUAGCGGUGAAAUGCGUAGAUAUAUGGAGGAACACCGGUGGCGAAAGCGGCUCUCUGGUCUGUAACUGACGCUGAGGCUCGAAAGCGUGGGGGGCGAACAGG
rnacentral:rRNA from 1 species